UUUGACCUCGGAUCAGGUAGGAA
rnacentral:rRNA from 1 species